CGACUUAGCGGCGGACGGGUGAGUAACGCGUGGGUAACCUGCCUUACACUGGGGGAUAACAGUUAGAAAUGACUGCUAAUACCGCAUAAGCGCACAGGGCCGCAUGGUCUGGUGUGAAAAACUCCGGUGGUGUAAGAUGGACCCGCGCCUGAUUAGGUAGUUGGUGGGGUAACGGCCCACCAAGCCGACGAUCAGUAGCCGACCUGAGAGGGUGACCGGCCACAUUGGGACUGAGACACGGCCCAA
rnacentral:rRNA from 1 species